UGCCUUCGUGUUGCCCUUUCAUUGUGUUUGUGGUGAAUUGGGUGUCAGGUAAGGCAUACAGUAAUUUUUGUGGUUGUCUUGGAAAUUCAUCAUCACUGAUCCAUUUCCACAGAAUCUACUGCAAAGACAUGU